CGUGGAGGCAUCUCCAACGGUUGGAAAGAACUUCGGUCAAGGAUGGACUCGCGGCCUAUCAGGUAGUUGGUGAGGUAACGGCUCACCAAGCCUACGACGGGUAGCCGGCCUGAGAGGGUGACCGGCCACACUGGGACUGAGACACGGCCCAGACUCCUACGGGAGGCAGCAGUGGGGAAUAUUGCACAAUGGGCGCAAGCCUGAUGCAGCAACGCCGCGUGAGGGAUGACGGCCUUCGGGUUGUAAACCUCUUUUAGUAGGGAAGAAGCGAAAGUGACGGUACCUGCAGAAAAAGCACCGGCUAACUACGUGCCAGCAGCCGCGGUAAUACGUAGGGUGCGAGCGUUGUCCGGAAUUAUUGGGCGUAAAGAGCUCGUAGGCGGUCUGUCGCGUCUGCUGUGAAAACCCGAGGCUCAACCUCGGGCCUGCAGUGGGUACGGGCAGACUAGAGUGCGGUAGGGGAGAAUGGAAUUCCUGGUGUAGCGGUGGAAUGCGCAGAUAUCAGGAGGAACACCGAUGGCGAAGGCAGUUCUCUGGGCCGUAACUGACGCUGAGGAGCGAAAGCGUGGGGAGCGAACAGGAUUAGAUACCCUGGUAGUCCACGCCGU
rnacentral:rRNA from 1 species